UCUCUUUUGAUUGAUUUUAUCGUAUUUCAUUGACUAUCUUUUACCUUAUUUAUUACCAUUCCUUAUUGACGCUACCGUGCAAUCGUAUCUGCAUCUAUGUACCACCAAACCUGCUUUACCAUCGCCGGCAACGAGUACUUAUUACCGAUCGACAGCGCAAACUCGCAUUUCGCAGUUCACAAACGUCAAACAAAGAACUGGAGCGUCCAAUCAGUUUUAUAAACAGCUUUUGUUGCUAUUUUAAUUUUCUUUUAUGAGUUUUCCUGUGAGGAACAAAAUUCUACAACAUUAUCGACAGCGUACGUCGUACACUUGCAUUUCGCAGUUCACAAACGUCAAAGCCCGCCCUCGAGCGAAGCAGGCAGCAGCCCGCACACUGAUGCAGUCAGUUUGGUCUAGAAGGAGAACCUAGGUAAACGUGCAGUGAACAAUGGAACGUCGUAGAUUAGAUCGCAAGAAAAACACAAGCCUGAGAAUUCGUUUAGCGCGAGCCCUGAGUCCGGCUACACGAACGAGAAGCUUCAGAGCUGGUUCUUGUAGUGACGCGGUUAACUCUCCGAGUUCGAGCCCUGAUGGGCAGAAUAGACAGAAUAGACACUCAUCACCCUGGCGCAGAUGUUCCUGGCAGUCGCCCCUCUCUUGCAGAGGCAAGCUCUGCGAUCCGGAAGGUGAAGACGAGGUGUUCAGCGUUUCUCAGAGUUCUCGUACUGCCGUUUGGUAUGCGGACGAGAGAUUAACUCAAGUGAGCAGUUGCAACUUGACUGUACAGGUGGGGUUUGAUUAAAUUUCAGCAUUCCAUCGGAGGUAGCAUUACUGUAUAGGAUGGCAGCGUGGUACCUAAGUUAAAGGAGAACGUACAGACAUGCCCACACGGACUGAAAGGCAUUUUCAAUUAAACUGAUAUAUAAUUUCCGGGGAAAUUCAACCUCCUGUAUACGCAUCGUUAUUAGCUCCAACAAGAGACCUCAAGAUACGUUCAUUCGUAAAGGUGAGGCAUUAUAAAAAAAUAUUACUCUAGUAUAUGAUCCAAUUAGUUAACGCUCGCCUGCGCAAACGCCCGAAAACUGUCCAUACACAACUCCGGCGUCGCAUCCGAAAAUUUCAAACCAGACCAACUUCGAAAAUCUCCGGCCAAAAAAUGAAAGCAUAUAGAACAGACGGUCGAGGACAGUCCCAUUGUCG